rnacentral:tRNA from 1 species
GGAGCUGUAGCUCAGAUGGGUAGAGCAGUGAAAAAGGAGCUUUGAUAAAAGCUCAUGCAGCAAUUUUACAUGGAUGAUCCCACGUGUCGCAGGUUCGAAUCCUGUCAGCUCCA